rnacentral:misc_RNA from 1 species
UUCUAAGGAGCACCACGAAAAGCACUCCAAUUGGUGGGGUGCGAGCCGUGAGGGGUUCCCGCCUGUAGUGGGCGGGGGCCGGGUGCACAACAGCAAAUGAUUGCCAGACACACUAUUGGGCCCUGAGACAACACUCGGCUCGUUCUGAGUGGUGUCCCUCCAUCUUGGUGGUGGGGUGUGGUGUUUGAGUAUUGGAUAGUGGUUGCGAGCAU